GAUGAACGCUGGCGGCGUGCCUAAUACAUGCAAGUCGAGCGAACAGACGAGGAGCUUGCUCCUCUGACGUUAGCGGCGGACGGGUGAGUAACACGUGGAUAACCUACCUAUAAGACUGGGAUAACUUCGGGAAACCGGAGCUAAUACCGGAUAAUAUAUUGAACCGCAUGGUUCAAUAGUGAAAGACGGUUUUGCUGUCACUUAUAGAUGGAUCCGCGCCGCAUUAGCAAGUUGGUAAGGUAACGGCUUACCAAGGCGACGAUACGUAGCCGACCUGAGAGGGUGAUCGGCCACACUGGAACUGAGACACGGUCCAGACUCCUACGGGAGGCAGCAGUAGGGAAUCUUCCGCAAUGGGCGAAAGCCUGACGGAGCAACGCCGCGUGAGUGAUAAAGGUCUUCGGAUCGUAAAACUCUGUUAUUAGGGAAGAACAAAUGUGUAAGUAACUAUGCACGUCUUGACGGUACCUAAUCAGAAAGCCACGGCUAACUACGUG
rnacentral:rRNA from 1 species